AAAUUUUUAAUAUACACACGCUACUGAUAUGGUCACGUCUCGAAGAACUUGUUUAAUAAAUGUACAGAACUAAUUCAAUUCACUUUUAGUUUUCUAACCUACAGUACGUAUUUUACAAAUUGUAUAUAGUUUGUGAUCGACUAAAUAUCAAAAACAUAAGCAAGUCUAUGUUUUUGUUUAAGCGUCAUAAGCGGCAAGUCUCUACUGAAAUCUCAUACGUUUUUUUUUUGUACAAAUUACCCCAAUUCUUUGGCUUUUCGAAACGUAUUUGUACCAAUUCUACGUUUCAAGUAUUCGAAUAAGUUUUUCAUUGGGUUUAAGUAAGGAGGCCAGAGUAAAGAACUCUUCGGGCUAUACGUGCUGCGAAUUUUAGCGGAUAUGGACUUGGAAGACAUGAACAUGAUCCUUUUGGGCAAGAAUGAUGAUGCGGUUGUCUGUUGUUUUUUCUUCUUCCAUAGUCGUUUUUAAUGGCGAUGCAAUUACUGCACCAUCAAUUGGCACGUGUGGAACCAGCACAAGGCUGUUACUCGCGGAUCCCAGGAAAAACGUAGCCAAACUUACCUUUAAAGCUGUGGAGAUAAUGUUUUUUAUCCCCAAUCGGCCGACUAAUUAUUUCAAUUAAAUAAAACUCGGCGC